rnacentral:lncRNA from 1 species
CAGAACUGAAUGAUGUGGCCUCUGGGCGGUGAGACGUCUGUUUACUGGGAAUUCUCUCAGACAGAUCUGCUCUGCUGUGAAGGAGGGCCGAGAGGACCUGACGGACCUGCGGGAGAGCCGGGACCAGAGGGUGGCAAGGGGGAGAAGGGUGAAGCCGGGAAGAAAGGAGAUCCUGGUUUUAUAGGUAAAGCUGGAGGUCCAGGGAAGAGAGGCAAUCCAGGACCACCGGUACGUACACACAACGUACACUACUAUACACUACACACACACACACACACACACACCCUUAGCAAAGCUUCACCUUCACUCUUUCAUUACCAUUUCAUUCCUAUACUACAGUGUGUAUAAGAACGCUGCAAUCAUUAAUCUGAACCAGAUUCUUAAAACUCCUCAUCUCUCUCUGUCUCUCUCUCUUUUUCCUGUUUCUCUUUUUUCAAUUUCUGUCUAUUUCUUUGUCUUUCCCCAUCUCUCUCUCUGUUUCUCUCUUUUUCUAACCUCUCUCUCAGACACACCGUCUUUCUCACACUUUCUCUCUCACACUCUCACUCUCUCUCGCUCUUUAUAUCUCUCUCACAAACACUCUCUCUCUCUCUAUCUCUCACUCACACUCUUUCUCUCUCUCUCUAUCUCUGUCACACAC